ACGCUAAAGCUCGAAGGUGCGGGUAUCGAACAGGAUUAGAUACCCUGGUAGUCCGCACGGUAAACGAUGGAUGCCCGCUGUUUGCGAUAUACUGUGAGCGGCCAAGAGAAAUCGUUAAAGCAUCCCACCUGGGGAGUACGCCGGCAACGGUGAAACUCAAAGGAAUUGACGGGGGCCCGCACAAGCGGAGGAACAUGUGGUUUAAUUCGAUGAUACGCGAGGAACCUUACCCGGGCUUGAACUGCCAGCGAACGAUUCAGAGAUGAUGAGGCCCUUCGGGGCGCUGGUGGAGGUGCUGCAUGGUUGUCGUCAGCUCGUGCCGUGAGGUGUCGGCUUAAGUGCCAUAACGAGCGCAACCCUUUUCUUUAGUUGCCAUCAGGUAAUGCUGGGCACUCUGGAGAUACUGCCACCGUAAGGUGUGAGGAAGGUGGGGAUGACGUCAAAUCAGCACGGCCCUUACGUCCGGGGCUACACACGUGUUACAAUGGGGGGUACAGAGAGUCGGAUAUACGCAAGUAUGUUCUAAUCCUUAAAGCCUUCCUCAGUUCGGAUUGGGGUCUGCAACCCGACCCCAUGAAGCUGGAUUCGCUAGUAAUCGCGCAUCAGCCAUGGCGCGGUGAAUACGUUCCCGGGCCUUGUACACACCGCCCGUCAAGCCAUGAAAGCCGGGGGCGCUUGAAGUCCGUGACCGCAAGGAUCGGCCUAGAGCGAAACUGGUAAUUGGGGCUAAGUCGUAACAAGGUAACCGUA
rnacentral:rRNA from 1 species